CUCUGAGCUGUUCCAUGAGACACCCCAUUAGCAUUAGAAUCCACUCCAGCUCCCAGAUUUGCAGGGAAACUGAUGCGUAGAGGAAGAGACUCAUUUUCAAAAUCACAAUGUAAUCACUUUGCUUGUAGGGCUUUUUUCUUCUUUCUUGUUCUCCCUCUUCCUCUCUUUGUUCUUCACACGGAGACUUUGUCUCCAGCUCAUUCGAAAUGCGGAAAUAGCUGAAACUCACAAGUGAACAUCCUUAUUAACUUCCCUUCCUGGCAGUGCCUUCCAUGUGGCUAAGCACUUAGUCUUCACAGAGAAGAAAUAAUCAUAGUACGUGAAAUGCCAGAUUUUCAAAUUAUAUAUUUUAUAAAUAGCUUAAUCGCCUAAUAUUUAUCAAAGCUGUGAAUUUUAGUUUGACAUCCAGAAUAUUGCAUUUAAUUAUGGUGGCCAUAUCUGAGAAAAGUAUUAAAGGAGAUGAGAAACAAAGGACAAUGUACAAUUAUUUUCUUAAGAGUAUUUUAUGAAAUCUCUUUUUAUGUGGAGCUGUUGAAAUGCCAACCACCGUGACUCUAGAAUAGUUUAAAGGAGGAAGCUUUUAGAUUAGGUUUUUGCACUUCUCUGUGAGUGGAGGAAGGAUCUGUAGGAAACAGCAGGACUAAUCCAAGGUUGGAAAAUGGCUUGGGGGCAGGAGAGGGAGGAAGAGAUGGCCGAUGGGACAAGCGCCAAAGCCAAUGUUCCCAGGUCCACAGCAUCACAACACUGGGGUUGAUGUUAAAAAUUAAAAUAAAGGGACUUAAGAGGGAGUUGAGAGUCAAGCUGAAUUUGAGGAAGUAGCCAUGGUCCUCAUGCAGUUUAAGAAGUCAUAAUAGCAGUGCUCCAGGCUGGCUAAUAGUAGUGACCAAUGACAACGAGCUCCCAAACGUGUCCCACUCAUCACGAACCACUCUCCAGGGCAUCCACUUUGCCCAGAUACAUGUCUCGUGCCUGAUGAGCUGCUCCAUUUCCAAGAAGCAUGGCUGUUGGUCAGAAAAUUUGUCACACCCACUUGGUUAGGCACACUCUCACCCAUCAGCUGUUAGCAUGUUGGCUUCUAGAAGGGGCAGAAAGGACUGUGCUCCCCAGACUCCUGCGCCCCUCCUCCCCACCCUACGGGGAGCCCAUGGAAACCCAAAUUCUAGUCUCAACUCUACUACUAAUUCUAGUUAGGUGACCCCAAACACAUUAGUUUUGUCAUUUAAGUGUCCUUAAGCAUGUCACUUAACUCCCUUAGGUUUUAGUUUUGUAAACUAGGGAUACCAUGAGCUCACUGAGGUACCCAGUGUGCAGAGAGAUGUGAAAGUGUUUUGGAAAUUGCAAAGGGGAGAGGUGGUUGUAGAGAGUGUAGGAGUCUGCCAGGCGUGAUGCCAUCAGUGGCCUGGCAGAAGGGCUCUAAGUGCCCUGGAUGUAGUAACGGAUUUCCUGUGGGUUGUUGAAAGGCUGGUGUGGGGCUUCACUAGGACCGUCUCCCUCCCUGCAAUCCCACCUGAAUGGUAAAGAGUUCUACCGCCAUGGAAUUCCCAGUGUUCCAGGAUGGAGGCAAUUGAGCAAAGAGUGGCCAUGCUGUCGGCAGAGGCCUGAGUUUGGGCUAGCAGAGGAUAGAAACAAAUGCACAAAUGAAAUAUUCUGCCUGUGGCUUUGUGAGGUGGUUAACCUCACUAAUUCAGGGACAGGUAUGUAGCCUCGAGACUCUGGUUGGUACUUGGGCACAGCUGACCUUGAUCAAAAAAAAUGUCACUUCCCUCUCACUGCAGCCUGAAUUAAGCACAUCAUUAGAAACAGACCCUUCCAGGCCUUUCCUCUAAUGGCUCCAGCUGCAGCUUUCAUCACUCACCAGGUUUUAUGGGCAGGAGUGAUGGGGCUUUUUCCAAAUCAGUGGUGCACGCUGAAGGACAGGGGUGAUUUUUCGUGAAAUAAAUGGAGGCUUAGAUGGCCGAACCAGAAGGGAGCUUGCGGUCCCAGCCCACGAUUCUAUCGUAACUUAGGACUUUUUGUAUUAUGUGUGAUCCUGAGGGAGAAGAUGGGAUUUCUGGGUGCCCAGACCUCCAAAGUCAGCAGCAGGUGGAGGAUAAGGUCAGGGUCUGAGAAAUGUAGGAAAGUUUUGCAAUGUCUGGAGAAAACUAUGUGACAUAUCUGUCACGGGGCUGUUAGCAGGGUAUUAGAUAAUAUCUGGUGACAAAGAAAAUCUCACCAUCCUCUUUUCAGUGGGUUUGAAGCUUCCAGAACUGAAUAGGACCUGUUGUCAUUUGGUUUUGCCUGUAAAUACGACUUCUGUUUAGUUUGGUGUUGAUACCUCUGUAUGUUGUCUGAGAGAAUUAAUUAGCUUAGGCCAGGGUGAUAAAGUCUGGUACAGUUUUAUUGGGCAUCACAGGCCAUCUGAGGCCUGAGUGUGUCCUAAGCACAGAAUGUUGUGCCAGCAGCUGAAAAGAGCAGUGUACUGAGUCUACUUAGCCGCGUCUUCAGAGGAUGACGAGCAUGUGCCAGACAGCCCUGGGGGCACUUCCGAGUGUCUGCAGAGGCAGGCUAGGGUGCAAUAGAGGGGCCCUCGCCCCAGCCCCACCAGAUCACAUGUGUGGCUGCAUUCCCUCAUGGUCCCUUCCGUUCAGAACAGGCAAAUGCUACCGCUCUACCCUCCCUGCCAGGGCGGGUGAGCACACAGAGGGACGCUGUGUCUCUCACCAUCUCCCUUUGCAGCUCUGAUUGUUCUAAAUUGCUUCUGAGUGGGAAGAUUCGUCGGUUCGUGUUGAAGCAUGACACUCUCCAGGGAGAUCCAGAAAGCCCUCAAGAUGUAUUUCUGCAAAUUUUUAGCUUUGGGAGCUCUGGAGAAAAGCCAGUGGAUUGCCAGGAGGCAAAAUAGUUUCUAAUACAAGACUAGAUUUUUUUGUAUCCAGCAGGGGCAGCUGCAUUUUUCCUGACCCCUUUUUCAGCCCGCUUCUAAGUUAUCCAUCUCUUCAACCAGCCUCAAGUCCCCAUCAAAGAACUGGGUCCCCAGAGGAUGGACAAGGACAGCACAGCCUGAGAUUCCCCACGACUCGCCUAGUUAUAUUCAGAAGGAGUGCUGGCACCUGAGCUCCUUUGAAGAGACUCCGGCUGCAGGAAAGCGGCUGCUUCACGCUGGCAGCUCCCCUCUCACUUUUGCCUUCCUUAAUGGCUUUUGAAGUUCCCAGGGCUCUGUUUUAACAUAGAAAUGGUCUUCAAGGGCAGAUCUUGCCUAGAGAAACAUAGUGUCCCCUGUGAGGUGGUGGGAACUUUGGAAGACUCCCCUCCACAGCCUAGUGCACUGCCCAGGAAGUGAACAACUGGCCCCAUCAUUUACCCAAAUGCCUUGGGCAGGGCUGACAAAGCUGCCUCUGCAGUCACCUUCACCAAAGCCAGAAGAGGUGCUGCCGCUGCACCCCCUUUACAGAGAAGUCUAGCGUUUCGUCAUUCGUGCAAGCCAAAUCCAGAUCCGGAUCCCUCCUCCCAGCUCCAAGCCUGCUGAUGUUCAACCACCCUACAAGGAGCCCCCCAAGCUUUCUCCCAGCCUAGAGGCUGGACACCAGCGGGGCUCUCAGGGUUCAUGAUGUGUGGAAAAGGUAAGGGAAAAAAAUCGACAACUAAAAGCCAUUAGACGAAAAUUCCAAAUAGAAUGUAGCCGGAUAAGCAGUCCCAACCCACCUGGGAGUCUGAAAGGGAGGGCCCUGUAGGAAGGUGAUGGUCAUAACCCUUCGCUGGGUUGAUUUGUUACUGAGUUGCUGGGAGAAAUCCAGGAUAAAGGGUGGUAAAGCAGUGCAUGCUCUUGCACCGGGAGAAAAAGGGCACAGGUUAGUGUAGGGGACCUGAGAACAGGGCAGAGCUCAAUCACUGUGUGUGUGAGCUUCAUCUCAGACCAGGUGUAACAGGAACAGCCCCGUCCACCAUCACGUGCCUUGUAAGAUUCAGAAAAGAGCAUCUCCUCAGUGGUUCUCAAGCCUGGUUGCCCACUGAAGUCAUCUGGGAGCUUUAGAACAAUUCUGAUCCCUGGGCCCACCUGGAGACUGAUUCGAUUGGUCAGGGGCCUGGCUGCAGCAGCCGAGUGUUAAAAGCCCCUGGUGAGUCUCAUGUGCAGCCUAGCUUAAGAACCAUGUCUGCUCUAGACGCAGUAUCAGCCCAGGCUGCACUUGAGAAUCCGCCCACCCCCAACUCCCGGGGGAGCUUUCAGAAAUACCAGUGCACAGGCCUGCCCCAGCCCACUUCAGCCAGAGGCUCUGAGAUGGAGCCCCCGCCAGGUAGGAUAGACGUGCCACACGGCUGAGAAAGUUGGUGUAGGAGGAUCAGCGGGCCUCUCCCUUCCCUGCAGUGCCAUGCGGCGGUGUUCACAGCUCGCCGCCCCCUCCCCCUCCGUCCCACUUACUCCAGAGCCAGGCCCCAUCCUGAUCUGCGGAUCUGCCGCACAGGUUCAGGUUGCCCCCUCUGUAACUUACAGCCGACCCUCCAGACUCAGCCUCACCUCCCCUUUAGUAAGCCAACAAUGGACUCACAUACAAAAUGCAAUGUGGUGUGGGGCCUACAGCUCUCCCCCUUGUGCCACCAACUGGUGUGUAUAGGCUGUCCCUCAAUAGCUCUUGCUGUGAAAUUUGCAGCCUAUUUAACGGCUGUGCAUGUGUGUGUGCAUGUGUUGGGGUGGUGAGUGCAGGAGUUGGGUGGGAAUCAGAGGUGAGCUAGGGUCCCCAAUCCACACUCCAGGCACCUUGAAUCCACCCAUGGUCAGUCUUCCUGCACUGUUGAGGAAGGUUUGUAAUAAUUUUUGCUAAUACCCCAUCCCCUCUCCCCACCCCCAGAUUCCACUUGCCCAUCCUGCCCCCUACACUCAGCACCAGCCAAGCGCCUGGCUCCCAGGAGUUUCCCAGUAAGCAUUUUCUGAGUGACUGAACCAUUCUUCUCUGCAGCCAGACCUGAGUCCAACCUGAGCCACCCUUUGCUGCCCUCUCCAACCUAGGGGAGGUUGUGGCUGUGCUCAGCAGGGCCUCAAUAAGGAACUGGGCAUGGAUUUUGCAGGGGGCUUUGGUGAAGAAAGUUCUACCUAUAGGUAUUAAAGAUAGAGAUUAAGGGAAUGAGCCACUCAUCAUUCCAGGGACAUGCUGCUGUCUCGCUGAGCAGGGAUGAGAAUUUAUUGGUCUCCUUGGCACAGAGUGGCUGGCCACAACCUGGCUGGGAACACUGAACUGAGGGAUCCCACCACGGUAAUAGGGCCCACGCUGCCCUUCUGGCAGGGCAUCACUCAGAAGAAUUUUUCCAGCCCGAAGGAUCUGUCCGUUCAGGGUCUAGCCAAAAUCAUAGAGCUUGCCUUAGUUUCAAAAGCAACCAGGUCAGAGGUGGAGGCUAUUCUCUUUGAACCUUUGGAGGCCGUUGAUGUGGUGUUUGAAGUGCCCACGCUGGCCGCCAGCCUGAGUUCCUUAGACACAGGCAGCCUGCGCAGACGACAAGGCUCGGGCCCCUGACGGAGGCCCCCAGUGCCGCCCGCUGGUGUGCUGGCCUCGUGACGCCCUCACCAAGCUAGCAGUGGCUUUUAACAGCCAACCUCAAUUUCCAGUUCCCUUGCACAUUUUGCUUUCUCCCACUCAUAGGUACAGGAAGUCUGAUCGGGAGCGGGGCCAGCGUCAGGGACCUUGGUGAGGAAUAGCAGCAGGUUGCCCUGGUUACGGUCUGACCCAAGGAUGUGAGGAGGACCGGGCCAGGCUCCCACCUGAGCCCCUACUCAGGGCACCUCCUCAUGCCCGAAGCCAGCUAAUGUCACCCAAAUUGGAGCACUCAGGACCAAGGCCUAAACAUUCCUUUUUCCCCUGGAGCACAGGGAUGGCUCAUGUGGCUUAAUUAUACUGUUCAAAAGGGAGUGAGCUGAGAGAGGAAACUGCAGCAGAUAGACCUAUACCUGGUAAUCAAAUGUAAUCAGUUUCCAAUGUAGGAAGAUUUCAGGCAUUUACCCAGGUGCUUGGGGGAGGGGACACAACAAUUUGUGGUCUUCCUUCUCUUUCCCCUUAUUUUUCUGAUUCAGAAACCAGUCAUCACAGAAUCUAUGGGGACUGGGUGCUUGCUCAGGAAGGAUAAGGUGGGAGAGGGAGAAUUCAUUUUGAAAAUUAUAGUCAUGCCUGAGACAGGGCAGCUUCGGUGACUUCCAAGCAGCAGCUCCUUAGCAGCGAAGCCCAAAAUCCCUCCUGAGUUUCCGGCCUGUGUUGUGGCCUGAGGGCAGCAGCCACAUCUCUCCACUAGGUGCAUUUUAACAUGUUAAAAGGAAAUAUGUUAAAAGGAUGGCUCUGAGUAGCCACUGAAAUUAAUUGCACAAUUAGGCUUGUAUAAAAUCUUUUUUAUGCAGUAAGGGAUGGGACCGUGUAGAUUUCCAUUACAGAAAGAAUUGUCCCUGUGAUUCACAAAAGCAUGAUGGGAGCACUUCACAGCCAAGAUGUCGGCCUGGUGAUCUGACAACGUGGCCUUUUGGAAUUUUGAAAUUCCAAUUAUCUCUUUUAAAUAUUCUGAAAAUAAAAGUAUCAAAUCCUGAAAUAAUAAAUACUAGAAUAUGAAUCAGAAAUCUAAUUUUGCCCAGGGCAAGAAAUAAUUUUUUCCAGUUAAAAAGUUAAAAAAAUACUUCUACCUUUAUUGGCAUUGUGUGUGGAAAAAGUGGUCUAUUUAAGGGAAAUACAGGCUAGUAAAAUAUUUGUUAUUUGCACUAGGAGAUAAUUUAAGGAACACCUUCUCAAAUGUCAUCAGACUUACUUUAAAGGCAAACCAAGUCCAAAAGUUCUAAAUUGAGAAAGCUGGAAGGGAAACUUAAAUAUGAUCCAACCCCCUGUUUUAUGACCAGAGGGGAAUGGAUUGGCCAAGAUGUCGGGGAUGGUUAAUAGGACCUCAGGCUCCUGGUCAGUGUGGGGCACUCAGACCCAUGAGUCUAGAAAGCAAAGAACAACUGGAUUCAUGUUUCCUAUGUCAGAGUCCACCCAGUUGCAGUUCCACCUGAGUCCUUCACAGACAUUAAAGGUAGGAUUCACAUCAUGGAAUAAGCAUUUUUCUACUAGCGAUUUGUUUAAUAAAGCUUUAUUGGAAUAUAAUUUGCAUGCCAUAACAUUUCCCCUUUUAGAUGGAAAUAAUAGACACUGGGAACUCCAAAAGAGCAGGGAGGAGAGGGAGGGUUGAAAAAUUACCUGUUGGGUAUAACAUUCGAUUGUAAUCAGUUUCCAGUGUUUUGCAUUCCUACCAGCCGUGUAAUGCACUAUGAACAUUCAUUUGGGGGAUGAAUACCCUAGGAGCCCAAUCCCCACCAUUACAUGUGUAAUACCCAUGUAAUAAACAAGCACAUGUACCCCAAAUAAAAAAAAAUCCCCUUUUAAA